CGUAGGGGGCAAGCGUUAUCCGGAAUUAUUGGGCGUAAAGAGUGCGUAGGUGGUUUUAUAAGCGCGGGGUGAAAGGCUAUGGCUCAACCAUAGUAAGCCUUGCGAACUGUAAGACUUGAGUGCAGGAGAGGAAAGUGGAAUUCCUAGUGUAGCGGUGAAAUGCGUAGAUAUUAGGAGGAACACCAGUGGCGAAGGCGACUUUCUGGACUGUAACUGACACUGAGGCACGAAAGCGUGGGGAGCAAACAGGAUUAGAUACCCUGGUAGUCCACGCCGUAAACGAUGAGCACUAGGUGUCGGGGCCGCAAGGCUUCGGUGCCGCAGUUAACGCAUUAAGUGCUCCGCCUGGGGAGUACGCACGCAAGUGUG
rnacentral:rRNA from 1 species